GAUGAACGCUGGCGGCGUGCCUAAUACAUGCAAGUCGAGCGAACAGACGAGGAGCUUGCUCCUCUGACGUUAGCGGCGGACGGGUGAGUAACACGUGGAUAACCUACCUAUAAGACUGGGAUAACUUCGGGAAACCGGAGCUAAUACCGGAUAAUAUAUUGAACCGCAUGGUUCAAUAGUGAAAGACGGUUUUGCUGUCGCUUAUGGAUGGAUCCGCGCCGCAUUAUCUAGUUGGUGGGGUAGCGGCUUACCAAGGCAACGACGCGUAGCCGGCCUGAGAGGGUGAACAGCCACAAGGGGACUGAGAUGCGGGCCAGACUGCUACGGGAGGCAGCGGUGGGGAAUAUUGCACACUGGGCGGAAGCCUGAUGCAGCAACGCCGCGGGCGGGAUGACGGCCUUCGGGUUGUAAACCGCUGUCGCCUGUGAAGAAGCGGGAGUGACGGUAAUGGGUAAAGAAGCACCGGCUAACUACGUG
rnacentral:rRNA from 1 species